rfam:Angiostrongylus costaricensis strain Costa Rica genome assembly, scaffold: ACOC_scaffold0002543
GGCCCUGUGGCCUAGUGGAUAAGGCGUCGGUCUCCUAAGCCGAAGGUUCAAGGUUGGAGUCCUUACUGGGUCG